UACAGAGGUCUCAAGCGUUGUUCGGAUUCAUUGGGCGUAAAGGGUGCGUAGGUGGCGUCGUAAGUCGGGUGUGAAAUUUCGGAGCUUAACUCCGAAACUACAUUCGAUACUGCGGUGCUUGAGGACUGGAGAGGAGACUGGAAUUUACGGUGUAGCAGUGAAAUGCGUAGAGAUCGUAAGGAAGACCAGUGGCGAAGGCGGGUCUCUGGACAGUUCCUGACACUGAGGCACGAAGGCCAGGGGAGCAAACGGG
rnacentral:rRNA from 1 species